CAGCCGCCACGGUAAUACGGAGGGAGCUAGCGUUGUUCGGAAUUACUGGGCGUAAAGCGCGCGUAGGCGGUUACUCAAGUCAGAGGUGAAAGCCCGUGGCUCAACCCCGGAACUGCCUUUGAAACUAGGUGACUAGAAUCUUGGAGAGGUCAGUGGAAUUCCGAGUGUAGAGGUGAAAUUCGUAGAUAUUCGGAAGAACACCAGUGGCGAAGGCGACUGACUGGACAAGUAUUGACGCUGAGGUGCGAAAGCGUGGGGAGCAAACAGGAUUAGAUACCCCCGUAGUCCCUGUCUCUUAUAC
rnacentral:rRNA from 1 species